GAAACAGCUAUGACCAUCCUAAGGUAGCGAAAUUCCUUGUCGGGUAAGUUCCGACCUGCACGAAUGGCGUAACGACUUCUCGACUGUCUCAACCAUAGGCCCGGUGAAAUUGCACUACGAGUAAAGAUGCUCGUUUCGCGCACGAGGACGGAAAGACCCCGGGACCUUUACUACAGUUUGAUAUUGGUGUUCGGUUCGGCUUGUGUAGGAUAGCUGGGAGACUGUGAAGCAUGCACGCCAGUGUGUGUGGAGUCGUCGUUGAAAUACCAGUCUGGUCGUGCUGGAUGUCUAACCUGGGUCCGUGAUCCGGAUCAGGGACAGUGUCUGAUGGGUAGUUUAACUGGGGCGGUGGCCUCCUAAAGGGUAACGGAGGCGCCCAAAGGUUCCCUCAGCCUGGUUGGCAAUCAGGUGUUGAGUGUAAGUGCACAAGGGAGCUUGACUGUGAGACCGACGGGUCGAGCAGGGACGAAAGUCGGGACUAGUGAUCCGGCCGUGGCUUGUGGAAGCGCCGUCGCUCAACGGAUAAAAGGUACCCCGGGGAUAACAGGCUGAUCUUCCCCAAGAGUCCAUAUCGACGGGAUGGUUUGGCACCUCGAUGUCGGCUCGUCGCAUCCUGGGGCUGAAGUCGGUCCCAAGGGUUGGGCUGUUCGCCCAUUAAAGCGGUACGCGAGCUGGGUUUAGAACGUCGUGAGACAGUUCGGUCCCUAUCCGCUGUGCGCGUAGGAGUCUUGAGAAGGGCUGUCCCUAGUACGAGAGGACCGGGACGGACGAACCUCUGGUGUGCCAGUUGUUCUGCCAAGGGCAUGGCUGGUUGGCUACGUUCGGGAGGGAUAACCGCUGAAAGCAUCUAAGCGGGAAGCCUGCUUCGAGAUGAGGACUCCCACCCACUUGAUGGGGUAAGGCUCCCAGUAGACGACUGGGUUGAUAGGCCAGGUGUGGAAGACCGGUAACGGUUGGAGCUGACUGGUACUAAUAGGCCGAGGGCUUGUCCAU
rnacentral:rRNA from 1 species